ACAAAAUGGCGUCCGAGAAGGAAGCGGUGAAGACAGAGGAAGUUGUAUUGAAAGCCGACAAAGGGGAGGCUUCUCUUGCUACUGUAUCAGGUCAGAUUCAGGAGGCAGAAAGGACAGUUGAGUCCCCACCACCUCCAUACAACUAUGGCUCUGGAGCUGCAGCCCCACCCUCAUAUGUGGAACAAGGAGACACAAUGGGUAAUGUCACCAUGUACACGGUGUGAAAUGUAGUGUUUAUGUGUAUACAAGAUCAAGUUAUGAACAAAAGAGAGAGAGAGAAUAGGAGUAGAAAGUGGUACAUAGAAAAGAAUUUUUUAAAAAAUUCCUUC